rnacentral:rRNA from 1 species
AGCGAACGCUGGCGGCACGCCUAACACAUGCAAGUCGAGCGAGAAAGCGGCUUCGGUUGCGAGUAAAGCGGCGGACGGGUGAGUACAACGUGGGUAAUCUACCCGAAGGUUCGGGACAACUCCGAGAAAUCGGGGCUAAUACCGGAUAAGACCACGGUAUCUGCGGAUACAGUGGUAAAAGAUUUAUCGCCUUCGGAUGAGUCCACGCCCCAUCAGGUAGUUGGUAAGGUAAAGGCUUACCAAGCCUAAGACGGGUAGCCGGCCUUAGCAGGUGAACGGCCACAUGGGAACUGAGACACGGUCCUGACUCCUACGGGAGGCAGCAGUGGGGAAUAUUGGGCAAUGGGCGAAAGCCUGACCCAGCGAUGCCGCG